GAGGUCUUGAUUAUUUUAUUUGUAAAUAACCAUCUGCUUCUUUCUGAUCAAGAGCCAGCAUAGCAAGGUGCAACCCCAGGGAGAGCUGUGAUUGAUACUCCUCCACCUCUGUUAGCAGGGGUUCCACACAAAAGAGAGUGUUAGGCUCACCGGUGACCCAUGAUGAAAAAGAAUUCACUUUCUUUAAAAAGCACAGGCACAAAAGGAUGCUGAAUGUUACAGUAUUUACUGAGCGGGCGCAGUGAGAGAAGGCCAGUGCGCUAGCAGUGGAGUGGAGCCCAGAAGCAGUGACAACAAAAGUGGACUCCAGACACUGCAGCGUGACAGCUAAACCAAGGAGCAUCGGAUGCGAUGGAAUUGCUCUACAAGCAACCUUGCCAAAGGCCCUUUUGCUGCACAAAGCUGACUCUAUCUUUGUAUAUUGAGGGAGCUAAAUCAAUGUUAAAUGCUUGGCUCUUUUCACAGGACAAUGACCAGGACCUAAGCUGCGUCCUUCCUUUUUGAUUGACACUUGAAACGUUGAGUUGGAAUCAGCCAGAGGCACUGCUACAAGCUUGAAGCCUCUGCUGGGGAUAACAACUGGUGACAUCUGCAGAAAGGCCGACAAAAGGCAGUUGAAAGCUGUGUUUGUUGCUUUCCCCUCUCAGAUCUCCUCUCUUUCAUGGAGCUCCUUACUUGCUUUAAUAUUAUGAUUCAGCACCUGGCUCUUUUGAACCUUGCUUUAAACUUCAAAAGGCGAGGUGGUAUUAACAAACAUGAAACGAAAAAGUGGCGGUAGUUUGAUUUACUGUUGUCGUCUUAUCAAGGGGGUUUUUUGUCACCAGCUGCCACUUUCUGUCAUCUUUGGAACCAUUAUCAUUUCUCUAAAAUCUAAAAGACUCCACUUAAUAACAGCUUUGAAUACAAGCAGGAUCAGUAACAUACACAGUUCUGGGGAUGACAAGACCAUCAAAUGAAAAGAAAGAUGUUGCCAAAAAAAAUUUAAAACAAAU